rnacentral:lncRNA from 1 species
GGGACUUUAUCUGUAACUGAUUCUUCAGCUUUAGGAAAUCUUCAGGGUCCAUCAACAGGUGGAGGUCUUCGAUAUCGGCGAGAAGCAUCCAGAUCCUCUCCAGCAGGUAGCAGUCGUUGGCGGCUUCUUUGAAUUCCUUCUUCUCGAUUCGCCUAACAAUGCGUUCUAGUAGCUCCUUCGACGCCUGGAUCCACGACUCCAGGAUCUGGUGUGUGGUGUAUAGCUUUUGGUUCUCGUGGUUCUUUACGUGGUCGUAAGGAUUUCUUUUCAGGGCAUGUAGUUCGUUAGGCCGGCAAACGGCGUCGUAUUCCAGGCUCGGCUUGCCGGCAAGGUUCGGUUCCCCUAGCCCGAGGGUGUACGGACAUCUCUUCAUCUCGCACUCAAUGGAGUACAAGAUCUUCUGUGCUAUGUCCUCGGAUUUCCGCCACGUGGCAAGACGAGGAAGCAAGCUAGCCUCGCUGGUUCGGUUCACGAACGUCGUCUUCUCCGCGCCACCGCCAAGCUUCCAAACCUCUGCCGAGCUACCAUCCCUCUCCAACACCCCGCUCGAAGAGCUUACAUCGGCAAUCGGAGCCGCACCGCCUCUUCCGGUAGCCACAUCGUUCUCACAGAUCUCCGCGACAAGCUCGAUCUGUCUGGUGGCCAGCGACUCGAGUCGCCGCUUCCACUCUCUCCGGUUGACAUAUGGCAACGGAUCCGACAACACAAUCGACACGAACCUAAAAGUAAUCUCUAAAGCCUGCAAAGCCGGCUUGACAAUCGACUCGCUCUCCCACUCCGGAAAUUCCUUCACCCUCCAAAGCUUCCUCAACUCCGGAAGGCGAAGAUAAUAAUCGUAAGCGGAACAAGCCGGAGCGGAAGCGGAAGCGGGAGAAGCCAUGGAGAGGCUAAACGACGUCGGAAUAGAUACGUGGAGCUUGUUAGAGAGCUUGGGAGACUUGUUUGGGAUAUCAGGAGAAACCAUCUUCGCUUUCCAAUCCAAAUCCACCAUGGCUGCUAGCUACUUUCUUGGUUUUUUUUUUUUUUUGUUAUCGCUGAAACUGAAAAUGGAAAUGGAAAUGGAAAUGGAUAUUUAGAUUUUCGUAUUUUUAGGUUAUGAUUUUGUUGAUUAGAGAGAGAUGAGGGAAAGGGGUAUAUAUAGGAGGAAAAGGCGUGUGGAAAGGGGACGAGGAAUUUGAAAGUCGCAGCAGUGUUGAAAAAUAAAAAUAAAAAAAUAAAAUUAGUGUUGAUAGAGUAGAGAGGCACAUGGAGCUUAUCCAAUUGAAAUAAAGAGAAGGAAAGUGCAGUGGUGGUUAGGCGUGUAUGUGGAACGGUUCCAAAGUUGGACCCUGGUCGUUGUUUGUUUUUGGUUCAAUUAAAGUCCGCGAUGGAAGCGUAUCUAGUGCCUUCGCUUGCUUUGAGGUCUUCGUUCAUUCUCCACUCAUCUAACGACACGUGUCGUUUAAUUGCGUUCGUACCUCUUUCUUCUUUCAUUGAUUCUGUCUGUGUUAUAUAAUUUUAAUUUUAUGUAAACUUUAAUAACUUUUUCUUUUAACUAUAAUUACUUAGUUAAUUAAUUAAUUAUCAUAUUAGUCUCCAAAUUUUAAUAUUUAUUUUAAUUUUAUUGUAAUAUUUUUAACGUCAAAAUUAUUGUUAUUUUUUAAUUGAAAGCCUAGAUUUAUUGUGUUAUGUUUGAAUAUUUUGAAAAAAUAAUUUUAAUUAAUUAAUUAAGUUUAUAAAUUAAUAAAAUAUUUUAUUUUAUCAUUAUUAUUAUUAAUUUAGUAAUUAAAUUAAUCAUUAUAAAGUAUAAAAAUAUGAUCUAAUUAUUUUAAUCUUUUUCUGUCAAUAAAUUGAAUUAAACAAAAAGAUUAUGAAUUAUAUUGUAAUGAAUAAAGUAUUAAUAAUCAAUUUAAAACAAAUGCCAACAUUUAUAAAUUAAUUUAAUAAAUUAUCCUAACUAUUUUUUAACUAAAUAUUUUGAUUUUAGUAUAAUUGUAGAGUAGUUAUGCUAUGUACAAUAUUACUAAAGUAAUAAAAUAUUUAUAUUACCUUGCUAAUUAUAAUUUAGAGCAUAAAAGGAAAAAAAUAGAAAAAAAAUAUAUAUAUAUAUAAUAUAACCUAUAUCCAUAUCAAAUUAAAAAAUUACUAUAUGAAAUCAAGGGAAUGUACCUAUUAAAUAAAUUGAAUCAUCUCACCUUAACAAACUAUCAUGAAAUUAAAAAUAAAAAAAAUAGUAUUUAAUUAUUAAAUUACUUUUUUAAAAAAAUGUUACACUUAUUUUAUUUGCAUUGCUUUAGGUGAGUAGAUAAGACUAACGUGUAUAUAUAAGUAGAAUUUUUUAAAUAAAUUUAUACGUUUAUUAAUUAUUUAAUAUACAUGUAUAUCAAUUAUAGUACAAUAAAUAAUAAAUAAAUUAUAUACAACCAAUAAUAAAUUAUGGCAUAGUUUUAAUUAAGUAGCUAAUCAAUUUGCAAAGUAAAUGUUAUCCUAAAUAUCCAAUUACUAGUAAAAAAUCCGUAAAGGUUGCAAAUAACACAACUUGCAGCAGAUCGUACCGCAUAAUGGAACUCUGCAGUUUGCAUAUUUUGUUCGUUUGCUCUGAUUUCCACCUAGGAUGCUUCCCUUGACGUGACAACUUAUCCUCGUGGUCAAAUUAAGAAAUGCUUAUCCGUUUUUUUUUUUAAUUAAAAUAAAUAAAAUAGUUAUUUAAAAAAAUUAAUUAUUAAUUUUAUUUUCAACAAAAUUACGGGCUGUGCCAUUGUCUGUUUAAGGGAAUCAAGGAAUUGCAAAUUCUGUUCCAUGCUUGUAGGGAAAACGACGCCG